rnacentral:rRNA from 1 species
UACGUAGGGUGCGAGCGUUGUCCGGAAUUACUGGGCGUAAAGAGCUCGUAGGUGGUUUGUCGCGUUGUUCGUGAAAACCUGAGGCUUAACCUUGGGCGUGCGGGCGAUACGGGCAGACUGGAGUACUGCAGGGGAGACUGGAAUUCCUGGUGUAGCGGUGGAAUGCGCAGAUAUCAGAAGGAACACCGGUGGCGAAGGCGGGUCUCUGGGCAGUAACUGACGCUGAGGCGCGAAGGCGUGGGGAGCGAACGGG